UACAGAGGUCUCAAGCGUUGUUCGGAUUCAUUGGGCGUAAAGGGUGCGUAGGCGGCGCGGUAAGUCGGGUGUGAAAUCUCGGAGCUUAACUCCGAAACUGCAUUCGAUACUGCCGUGCUUGAGGACUGGAGAGGAGACUGGAAUUUACGGUGUAGCGGUGAAAUGCGUAGAUAAUCUGGAGGAACACCGGUGGCGAAGGCGGCAUCCUGGACCAAUUCUGACACUGAGGAGCGAAAGCCAGGGGAGCAAACGGG
rnacentral:rRNA from 1 species